ACACAGAACCUCUUAAAAACUUCUUGAAACGGCUACAAACGGCUAUAGACGUCUUGGUCUAUGAUAAGACAGAAAAUAGAAUUUUUUCUAAACAUGACCUCAGCACUUGCAAUAUGCUAGUAUAUAUUCUAUCUGCGGCAAAACCCACUACUGGUGUCACUAGAGUCUGUUUUGGUAAACACAUUCAGAAUGUCUAACUCACGAACUUUUCUAGAUCUUUUUGUCUAAAAGUGCAUAAAAUGCCAAACGACGUGUUAAAAGUGCGGUUACCGUCGGCCGUUGGCGUUAGCGAAUAAAAGACGCCACAGACAAAUCGAACUCGUUGGAAGCAACAUAAGUUAAUUGGCUUUAAUAUUAAAUAAUUUCACACCAGAACUUCAAAAAUCAAGGGCGUGUUAUUGUUUUCCAUACGGGGCGCGCACACGACGCCUGGAAACCAUUCUGUGCUCGCGCCGCAGGUAUACUGACAGCAGCAGGAGCGAAACGCCGGCGUUGCACAGCGAUGUGACAGAGCCACCGCACUGCGAUCACUUCGGCGGCACAAUCCAAAUUUGUCGGACAUCUUAUUCUGUACUGGAAACACUGGGAGGCAGGAAGUUUGAAAAAACGGCCACUGCCGCCCGCAAGAUCUCGCUGUCUCGGUCGUGGGUUCGUUAUUCAGUUGUGUGUCAUUCUAAGCCGUUAUGUACAUUUAUACUGGAUAUUAACUGGAGUCAUUUAGCUGUGCUGAUGCUGUUUGCCCUGUGUUUUGCAUCAGUGCUUCGUGACAUCAGCUGUAUUGCGUGUUUUCGCCGACGGCUUACUACCACAAUGGCGGGAUCUGCGUUCGCCGCCUUCGUGUCUCGGUGCGUCUUUGUACGUCGCACGUUCGGAUAACACUUUUUCCGACGGCUGGACAUCCUUCUUGUACCUUGGCGCUAGCUGGAUGACGGGACCUCAUCAUGAUCAGUACUGCUUGCCUAUGUCUACAAGAACCGUCACGCAUGGCCUGUGACAGCAAGCUUUUGUGGGCAGCAAGUGCUCUCCUACGAAGGCUGGCCUACUCUGGCAGCGGCGGCAAUCAUCUUCAAGAUUCAUCCAUGAUCACCUUUGCUGCUAUUUGUCACUCUUGUUAAUUGCACUUUCUGCAUCUUCUCUAAUUUAUUAGGUAAUAAAGUAUGAGUAUGUGACAUGGUGUGAAGUAGAUGUCUUGCUGCAUUUUCACUUGCAAUCAUCUUUUAUGCAUGAAAAGCUCAUCGUACAGUUUAUGAAAAAAAUAACAGCAUAUUUUGAUUUAUCUUUCAGUUCUGGUAACAUGCAACGUGCAAGCAAUUCACUAAUGGAUGGUAUGCCGACGAACUGGCCAUUAUUUCGGUGUGAUGCUGUGCAAGCAUGCGGCGUUACCUUACAAGAGGCACCCACAAAGUAAGUUACAAUUUACUUUUAAAUGAAGCAUGGACAUCAGAAAAAAUAUAUUUAUAUUGCUAGUUAGAGUGGUUCGCAGGGUGUUUUUCCAGAUGUACUA